rnacentral:rRNA from 1 species
GUGUCGUGAGAUGUUGGGUUAAGUCCGUAACGAGCGCAACCCUGUCCUUAGUUACCAGCACGUUAUGGUGGGCACUCUAAGGAGGACUGCCGGUGGACAAACCGGAGGAAGGUGGGGAUGACGUCAAGUCAUCAUGGCCCUUACGACCUGGGCUACAAACGUGAUACAAUGGCUGGAACAAAGGGAUGCGAAGCAGUGAUGUGGAGCGAAACCCAUAAAAACAGUCUCAGUUCGGAUUGAAGUCUGCAACUCGACUUCAUGAAGUCGGAAUCGCUAGUAAUCGCGGAUCAGAACGCCGCGGUGAAUACGUUCUCGGGGUUU